AUGUUGUUGCACAGCACAUUUUCACACCGUAUUUUGCACGGCCUGCUCUUGCACAGCCUUUUUUUUAUUGCACGGUGUUUCAUUGCACGGCAGUGUGUCCAGGGCACUUUUUGCAGGAUGGAUUUUUGGAAAACUGGUAUUUAUUUCCAUGGUGGUUUUUGCACAGUGUUUUGCCUGGCUCUUCUUGCACGGCAUUUUUCUUGCACGAUGCUUUGCACAGUGCAUUAUUGCACAGCAGAUUUUUUUGCACGGUGUCUUGCACAGCCUUUUCUCCCACGGCAUUUUUUUUGCACGCUAAAUCUUACGUAUUUGUGUGGCAUUUUUUGCACAGCCUUUCGCCUGACACUUACUUCUUGCAGAGCCUUUUCUCGCACCGUGUGUUAUGUGGCACAUUAUUGCACAGCACAUUUUUGCACGUUAUUGCACAGCACAUUUUUGCACGUUAUUGCACAGCACAUUUUUGCACGUUACCUUCAAUGGCCUUUUCUUGCACGGCCCUUUUUUUUCUUUUUCCUAGUAUUUCAUUGCACAGCAGCGUGUCCAGGGCACUAUUUUCAGGGCAGUUCCUUGCACAGCACAGUGUCUUGCACAGCCUUUUCUCCCACGGCAUUUUUUUUGCACGCUAAAUCUUACGUAUUUGUGUGGCAUUUUUUGCACAGCCUUUUGCCUGACACUUCUUGCAGAGCCUUUUCUCACACAGUGUGUCACACGGCACGUUAUUGCACAGCACAUUUUUGCACAGCACAUUUUUGCACGUUACCUUCAAAGGCCUUUUCUUGCACGACCCUUUUUUUUCUUUUUCCUAGUAUUUCAUUGCACAGCAGCGUGUCCAGGGCACUAUUUUCAGGGCAGUUCUUUGCACAGCAGUGUUUGCACGGUACUUUUUUGCACAGCAUCUUUCCUGGCAGUUCCUGCGUGGCCUUUUCUUGCACGACGUUUUGCACAGCACGUUAUUGCAUGGCAUGUGUUUUGCACAGUGUCUUGCACAACCUUUUCUCACAAGGCAUUUUUUUUGCACAGUGUAUUGCCUGGCACUUCUUGCACGGCCUUUUCUUGCACAGUGUGUUAUUGCACGGCAUGUUUUUGCAUGGUGUCCUGCAUGGCCUUUCCUUGCACGGCGUUUUUGCACAACAUUUCUUUGCAGACCUGUGUUUUGCACAGCCUUUUCUUGCACGUCAUUUUGCAAGGCCUUUUCUUGCACGGCCUUUUCUUGCAUGGCGUUUUUGCACGGAGUGUAUUCACAUGGCUUUUUUUUGCACAGCAAUUUUGCACGUGGUUGUGCAGGGCUUUUUUCACGUGGCCUUUUUGCAUGGAACUUUUUUUGCACAGCGUUUUUUUGCGUAA
rnacentral:lncRNA from 1 species